GGAAGUAAAAGUCGUAACAAGGUUUCCGUAGGUGAACCUGCGGAAGGAUCAUUAAUUACGCAAGCUAUAGCCCCUUCGGGGGUUAUUGCACCUACCCUUUGUCUACGUGUACCUCUUGUUGUUUCCUCGGCAGGCUUGCCUGCCGCUGGGACCCCUUAAACCCUUGUAUUUACAGUAUGAAAAUCUCUGAUAACCAUUUAAAUUAUUACAACUUUCAACAAUGGAUCUCUUGGUUCUGGCAUCGAUGAAGAACGCAGCGAAAUGCGAAAAGUAGUGUGAAUUGCAGAAUUCCGUGAAUCAUCGAAUCUUUGAACGCACAUUGCGCCCCUCGGUAUUCCGUGGGGCAUGCCUGUUCGAGCGUCAUUUACACCCUCAAGCUCUGCUUGGUGUUGGGCGUCUGUCCCGUUUUAUGCGCGGACUCGCCCCAAAGUCAUUGGCAGCGGUCGUGCCAGCUUCUCGCGCAGCACAUUUGCGUUUCUUGAAGUUUGGUGGAUCAGCGUCCAGUAAGCUAUUUUAUGACUUGACCUCGGAUCAGGUAGGGAUACCCGCUGAACUUAAGCAUAUCAAUAAGCGGAGGA
rnacentral:rRNA from 1 species